CAAACUUGGACGAAUUUUGGUUUUCUAAUGAACUAAAACACUUAAAAACAUAAUAUAAGACAAGUUCUAAUUAAUAUGACUCAAAGAAAUAAGAUGGGGUUGAUUUUGGACGAAAAUAAUUAAAUUAAGACAAGAACAAAGUAAAUAGAUUCUUAGACAAAUUUGGGUGAAUCAAAACACUUAAAAACACAAACUAAAGUGAUUACUAACUAAUCUAACACUUUG
rnacentral:lncRNA from 1 species